UCCGGUGCCAAACAAAUUCAAAACAAGAUUUUGUAUUGUGGUUUAUCUAAUGUCUGUUUUAUACUAUUUUUACAAUAACUUUUCUGAUUAAUAACACGACAAUUGCUUUAAGAUAUAAAUUAUUAGGAAAACAAACGUCUCCUACAUGGACUUGUAAAGCGGAACUAUUUAGUAGACUUGGUCACGUAGAGGGAAGAAACGGUGUUGCACCGAAGGUUCCAAGUGGAGUGUGGUGUGUUUCUCUGCUUCUGGUGGAGUCGGCCCAGGAACGGAGUCGCUAGCUAGCCUUGUCUAGCUUGAGAAGAAUGGUGUCCUCGUCCGUCAGCUUGGUUAAGGACGUAAACUAGAAAGC